rnacentral:rRNA from 1 species
GAUUAACGCUGGCGGCGUGCAUAACACAUGCAAGUCGAACGAUGAAACUCAUUAGAUUUCUUCGGAAUGAAAAUGAAUGGAUUAGUGGCGAACGGGUGAGUAACGCGUGAGUAACCUGCCUUACACAAGGGGAUAGCCUCUGGAAACGGAGAAUAAUACCCUAUGAAACCAGACAAUCGCAUGAUAAUCUGGUCAAAAUGUUUAGUGGUGUAAGAUGGACUUGCGUCUGAUUAGCUAGUUGGUGAGAUAAAAGCUCACCAAGGCAGCGAUCAGUAGCCGGCUUGAGAGAGUGUACGGCCACAUUGGGACUGAGACACGGCCCAGACUCCUACGGGAGGCAGCAGUGGGGAAUUUUGCACAAUGGGGGAAACCCUGAUGCAGCGACGCCGCGUGAUUUAGAAGGCCUUCGGGUUGUAAAAAUCUUUUGUAUAGGAAGAAAAUGACAGUACUAUACGAAUAAGGGCCGGCUAAUUACGUG